GUGGGUAUAGCUCAGUUGGUUAGAGCGCUAGAUUGUGGCUCUAGAGGCCGUGGGUUCGAAUCCCAUUAUCCACCCCA
rnacentral:tRNA from 3 species